AGCUUUGUGCAGUGGCAGUAUCAUAGCCAAUGAGGUUUAUCCGAGGUGUGAUUAUUGCUAAUUGAAACCAACCCCCCUUAGGAACUCGGAUUCUGAAUAAGGUUCCUGCGAAGAAGUAGGACUGCUGAGUC
ensembl:snRNA U4 U4 spliceosomal RNA